GGCUCAGACGGUAAAGCGUCUGUCUGCAAUGCAGGAGACCCAGGUUCGAUUCCUGG
rnacentral:tRNA from 1 species